rnacentral:tRNA from 1 species
GAGGACGUACCGAAAUGGCUAACGGUCUAGGUUGCAACCCUAGUAUGUGUGAGUUCGAAUCUCACCGUUCUCU